UACAGCCACAUCAUGUUGAAACACCAGUUUCCAUACAAUCCCUGAAGUUAAGCAACAUUGAGCCUGGUUAGUACCUAGAUGGGUGACCACUUGGGAAUACCAGGUGCUGUAAGC